AAUAUUGGACAAUGGCCGAAAGGCUGAUCCAGCCAUGCCGCGUGAAGGCAGACGGUCCUAUGGAUUGUCAACUUCUUUUGUACGGGAGCAAUAAGUGUUACGUGUAACACGAUGUGAGUACCGUACGAAUAAGCAUCGGCUAACUCCGUGCCAGCAGCCGCGGUAAUACGGAGGAUGCGAGCGUUAUCCGGAUUUAUUGGGUUUAAAGGGUGCGUAGGCGGAAAGGUAAGUCAGCGGUGAAACUCAGGUGCUCAACACCUGCCGUGCCGUUGAUACUGUUUUUCUGGAAUGCGGAUGCUGUGGGAGGAAUGUGUGGUGUAGCGGUGAAAUGCAUAGAUAUCACACAGAACACCGAUUGCGAAGGCAUCUCACAAAUCCGUGAUUGACGCUGAGGCACGAAAGUGUGGGGAUCGAAC
rnacentral:rRNA from 1 species